UCCAAUUUAUUUUCUCCCGUCCUUUUUUUUCUUCCCUUUCCUCCAAAUAACUUUUCCCAUCUCUAAACUCCCAGAAGCAGUGAGUGUUGGAAGGUGAAUCACUGAGAGUUUGUUGUUAUAGCUCCUUGAGAUGUAAUACUGUAAAGAGUUUCGAGAAGAAGACUGCAAAUUGGUGCUUUUGCUAUGGAAUUAACGGUUGAGAGUUAGAAUUUGGAACAGUAGGCUAAAGGAAGCUUGGUGCAACGAAGCUAGAGGCACAAGGUUGGUAUUUACUUUGUCGUCCUUAUUAUAUAUAUAUAUAUAUAUCAUGGCAUAAUUACUAGGUGGGCUUGUGGAGGGUUUUGGCGACACUGUUCAUGUUCAGUUGGCUUAAAUCUUACGUCAAUGCCUUUGCAAAUGAAUAUUACUUUACAAAAUUUUCAUUUAAUAAAUGAAAGUGGUAUUGAAUUAUUUCAAUUUAUUUAUGUUUUGUUUGUCUCAUAUAAUCUUCUUAUGGGUUUUUUUUGUUUUUUUGUUUUUGUUGGAAUCAGUCAUUAAUUAAGUUCUUUUCUGAAA